UUUGAGUAUAUUGAAUAAAAUACUUUUGUCAUCAAUCAACAACAGAAAAUAUUAAGUUUGUGUAACAUGUAAAAAUGAGUUUCAACAUCCUUCCUGUUUGAAUUGAGACCAUUCAGACAGACGAGGGCAACCCCGUAGCAUAUGUUCGUAUCUUGCGCAACAGUUUCUGGAUUCUUGUGGCUUCGUGGGAGAAGAGGUGUGUUUGCCCUCGACUGUGUUCGGUGAGUUAAGAACCGAAAACACACUCCUCACUCAUUGGAUGACUUCAAGCCUGAGCUGAUACAGAGAGUUCGGUGGAAAUGAAGAGAGAGGUCGCAAUCCGUUGCCUGAAGGUGUAUCUGAAAGAGAAGGAAGAGGAUCUCUUCAGAGAACAGCUGGAUGGUGAACAACAGUUCCCAGAAGAAAUGGUAAAGAUUGUAGUCACCAGACGUGCAGCAGUGUCUCUCAAAGCUGUCGCUAAAAUUGUGAUUGAAGGAACAGCAGUCCUGGAAGACCUUGAUGUGCCCAGAGUGUGUGCCUUAAUGAUGGGGCUUAUAUACACUCUCAAUCUGAGCUACCCAAAACAAGUAAAGAACACUAGAGGUAUUUCUGGAACUUGAUGGGCUUAAACCAGUCCACGGGUAAUGUCUGUUAAGUGCAAACUUCUGUCAUGAAACGAAUGUGAAUUGGACUGUAGUAUUCCGAUGUGCCUCUUACGUUUUUGUAUGCAGUCCUAGAUGAGUGUAGUUUUGAGAAAAGUUUGUAAUACAUAUAAUCUUAGCUUUGGAUUGUUCUGUUGUUGAACAUUAAAAUCUUUUGUCAUUUCCUUGAUUCUGCGACAAGUUGAACAAGUUGAUACCAAUUUAAGUUAAUGUUAAUGUACAUGAAGUACUUUUUUUAGUCAUUUAUAAUUAAAGGGCUGCUGUAAUGUUUCAUUUAUGUUGUAUUGACACAGAAGUGUAUUACUUUGAAAAUGUUUUGUAAUAAAAUAAUCAAUUGGAA